rnacentral:piRNA from 1 species
UGUGAGAGAGAGGGUGCAUUGAUAUGCCGUUA